ACCAAGGGCCUGACACGCUUUGAUAGAGAAAGAUAGUCUUAUUGCGAUUCCUAUAAGAGGAAAGAGAAAAUAGUGCAAUGCUUUGUCUUUAUCACGGACCGGGUUUUUUUUCAUGGUCGGGUUAUGGCAGCUUAGGAAGGAGGGUGAUGGCGAUAUACAGAAAUUUAUAAGAGUGAAAGAGACAAAAUCCCGCAAGAUGCCAUACAUUAAACUGUCAAUCAUAUUGUCAAGAGUGCUAGUAAACAACGUGGUUUUCUUAUUGUAGAAGUUUUAUAAAGUGAAUGAUUGUGUUUAUUAAGUAUUUAAUGGAGGUGUAAGAAGUUUUUACGUACAAUUAACAUGGUGGGGUGUUCAGUGGUUGCCUACAAAAGCAAUAACUUGCGAAAAUAAGCGGGUGUAACAUUUCAUGCCUCUCCGACGGAGGAUGAAAUUGUUAAAGAAUGGAUCGCGGGAACUGGAAAAUCAAAUUGGAUGCCUCACAAAUACUUGCGUAUUUGUUCCAAACAUUUUGAACAACAUUGUGUCCGCAAACUGGGCAAACGAACUUUCAUCGAAAAGUUUUCUUUUCCAACCUUGUUCAUACACGUAAGUUGGCUGUUAUUAAAUAAGUAAUAGUAACUAGUGGGAAUAACCCGUUACACUAUACACUAUUAGAGUUGGUACAUCUUAACAUAGGUCUCACAGUGUUUUGAAGUAUUUAUUUGGGUUCUUUGUACACGGGUCGUCUACGGGUUUUAAUGGUAUUAAACUCUAACUAAUUAUUGGGGGUAAUUUCUGGGAAUUAAAAAUCCUACCUAUUACCAGUGGGAAUUUUAUUUCCCAGUAGUUACCAGUGGUAAAAGGUGGGAAUAAAAUUAGUGUAACUACCUGUGGUAAAAGGUGGACAAAAGUUCCUAGUAGUUACCACUAGUAACAACUUGGUGGUAACUAGCAGGAAUAACCCUAUAUAAGACCACAGACUUAAAUUUUUAAAUUAUUUCUUGGAGGCUUGGUACAUGGGAUUACGGAUUAUAUGAGUAUUAAACUCUAAAAUAAUGUAUUUAUUAAAAUUGAUUAAUACUACCCCGCAGGAGAGGAGAGAAAAAAUUCUUUUCUUCAUCAUGUCAUGGAAAUCGUCCAUUCGUGCACGUCGUCGUCGUGGCAGUCUCAACAGCAUUCUGAAGCUAUUAUUGAACUUCAUAUAAUUGAUCCACAGGUUACAAGUGUAUGUGUAAAUAAAGUUUUCUUGACCCCCACAGUAUGUACAACGCGCAACACGUAAGAUUUUUUAUUUAAACAUAAAUAUUCGGUUUUAAGUAACAGUUUUAAUGUAAAUGACCAUGUUAACUUAAAAUCAUAUACUGCGAAUCAAUAUUAUAGCUAUAAAUGUCA